UACUUAAUUAGUUUAAAUAAAAUAUUAAAUUGUGGAUUUAAAGAUAUAGAAUUAUAUUAAGUC
rnacentral:tRNA from 1 species